UGGGGAAUAUUGGACAAUGGGGGCAACCCUGAUCCAGCGAUGCCGCGUGGGUGAAGAAGGCCUUCGGGUUGUAAAGCCCUUUAGGUUGGGAAGAAGUUUAUACAUUGAUAAGGUGUAUAGAUUGACGGUACCGACAGAAUAAGCACCGGCAAACUCUGUGCCAGCAGCCGCGGUAAUACAGAGGGUGCGAGCGUUAAUCGGAAUUACUGGGCGUAAAGGGCGCGUAGGCGGUGACAUGGGUGUGAUGUGAAAGCCCUGGGCUUAACCUAGGAAGUGCAUCGCAAACUAUGGAACUGGAGUAUAUGAGAGGGUGGCGGAAUUUCCGGUGUAGCGGUGAAAUGCGUAGAGAUCGGAAGGAACGUCGAUGGCGAAGGCAGCCACCUGGCAUAAUACUGACGCUGAGGCGCGAAAGCAUGGGGAGCGAACAG
rnacentral:rRNA from 1 species